rnacentral:rRNA from 1 species
GACGAACGCUGGCGGCGUGCUUAACACAUGCAAGUCGAACGGAAAGGCCCUGCUUUUGUGGGGUGCUCGAGUGGCGAACGGGUGAGUAACACGUGAGUAACCUGCCCUUGACUUUGGGAUAACUUCAGGAAACUGGGUCUAAUACCGGAUAGGAGCUCCUGCUGCAUGGUGGGGGUUGGAAAGUUUCGGCGGUUGGGGAUGGACUCGCGGCUUAUCAGCUUGUUGGUGGGGUAGUGGCUUACCAAGGCUUUGACGGGUAGCCGGCCUGAGAGGGUGACCGGACACAUUGGGACUGAGAUACGGCCCAGACUGGUACGGGAGGCAGCAGUGGGGAAUAUUGCACAAUGGGCGGAAGCCUGAUGCAGAAACGCGGCGUGCGGGAUGACGGCCUUCGGGUUGUAAACCGCUUUCGCCUGUGACGAAGCGUGAGUGACGGUAAUGGGUAAAGAAGCACCGGCUAACUACGUG